CCAGCAGCUGGAAAAAUGGGUAUUCCAGCUCGGUUUUGGCCCGUUUUGCCCGCCUUCCCGAGCCCGGAUGCUCGGCCUGCAUUGAGGAAAGUCGAUCCUCGCGUCGUCCUCAUCGUUUUGGUUCGCUCGGCUCGCUAAUCCGGUGAGUUUAACUCACUAAACCUUUAUUAGACGGUUAAUGAUGCCCUAAGUGUGCUUAGUCUAAGUUCAGUAAGUUUAGGUGGUUAGAUUAGUUUAUUUGGUUGAAGAUUAUAUUAAGAUGUUUAAUUAAGUUAAAGUGUGUUUAGUUUAAAGUUAAGUAUGUUUAUUUUAAUAUAAAGCCUUGAUGUGACAUAAUAAGGUUUUACUUUUGAAUUAUUUAAUGAUUUCGAAUUCUGGAAUUUAUAAUAUUAUAUUCCGAAAUUAUUAAAAUAUUAUUAUUAAAAAAAAAGGAAAAAUUAUUUUUGACCCCGGUUGCUCAGAAUUUUGUUCCGAUCGCUGCUGUGUAGUCGGAUUUUGAAAUUGACAAUUGGAUAUUAUAAAUCGAAUGUGGAUUGUGAAAAAUAUGAAUAUUAUUAUUAAAUAAAUUUUCGGAAUAAACUUAAUUAUUUAAUAAUCCGAAAAAUUAUUUUGGGACCCUAAAUUCUCAGAAUUUCGUGAUGAUCGCUGCUGUGCAUUUAGAAUUUGAUAUUGAUGAUUGAUUGUGGUAAAUGGAGUGUGAUUGUGAUAAUAGGGAUUUUUUUUAUAAAAUCUUAAGCGUAGAAAUUGAUGGGAGAUUGGCCGUGAUUGACCACCUACUAGAGGUCGUGCCCAGUGAGGCCGUGAUGUACCACCUAGGAAAGGUCAUGCCCAGUGAGGCCGUGAUGAACCACCUAUGAGAGGUCGUGCCCAGUGAGGCCGUGAUGAAUCACCUAUGAGAGGUCGUGCCCAGUGAAGCCGUGAUGUACCACCUAGGAGAGGUCGUGCCUAGUGAGGCUGUGAUUAACCAUCUAUUAGAGGUCGUGCCCAGUGAGGCCGUGAUGGACCACCUAAUUAAAGGUCGUGCCGAGUGGGGCCGUGAUUGCCACUGAUUGUUAAACCUUCCUAUAGGGCCGUGAUUGAGAGCAAUGAUUGAUUUGCUAGAAUGACAUGUAAUCGGCCGAGUCGAUUGAUCGCUGAGACGAUCCAAGUGGUUGAAUUGUUUUGAUAAUGUGAUUGUGCCAUGGUUGUUUGGUUAUCAUAAUUGUACGUGGUUGAAUUAUAUAAAUUGUGCUAACCUGCAGAUGAAGGCUGAGGCGAGGUAAGUCUUCUGUGUGAUGUGGCUAGGCCACCCGGGGUGUAUUUUCUUUCUAAUAGGGGUUUAGGGGGUUUAACUUGCUGAGACAUCGUCUCAUCCCGGUUGUGGGAUUAAAAUUUCAGGUCCCCGGUGGACGGAGUGGCCAGAUGGCUUUGGUUGGCCUUAAGGAGUUGCAGAGGUGAAGUCAUAAGGGUUGGAGAGCGUGUCCUGCUAGUUGGUUGUAGGAUAGUUCCCCUUUUGUCGAGCUGG
rnacentral:lncRNA from 1 species